rnacentral:rRNA from 1 species
CCCUUAGAUGUUCUGGGCCGCACGCGCGCUACACUGAUCAGUGCAACAAGCAUCCGUCCUUGGCCGACAGGCCCGGGCAAUCUUUGAACGCUGAUCGUGAUGGGGAUAGACUUUUGCAAUUUUUGGUCUUCAACGAGGAAUUCCUAGUAAACGCAAGUCAUCAACUUGCAUUGAUUACGUCCCUGCCCUUUGUACACACCGCCCGUCGCACCUUCCGAUUGAAUGGUCCGGUGAAGCCUCCGGAUUGGCGUGCACCCUCGGGUGCUGCCGAGAAGUUGGCUAAACCUUACCAUUUAGAGGAAGGUGAAGUCGUAACA